UGCCCAGCAACUUCUAUUCCUACCUUCUCGCGGUACUGGCCGGGGUACGAGUAACCUUAGGGAAGA
rnacentral:ribozyme from 1 species